rnacentral:rRNA from 1 species
GACAGAGGGUGCAAACGUUGUUCGGAAUUACUGGGCGUAAAGCGUGUGUAGGCUGCCCUGCAAGUCGGGUGUGAAAGCCCCGGGCUCAACCUGGGAAGUGCACUCGAAACUGCGGGGCUGGAGUCCUGGAGAGGAAGGCGGAAUUCUCGGUGUAGAGGUGAAAUUCGUAGAUAUCGAGAGGAACACCGGUGGCGAAGGCGGCCUUCUGGACAGUGACUGACGCUGAGACACGAAAGCGUGGGGAGCAACAGG